CCUACGGGAGGCUGCAGUGGGGGAUAUUGCACAAUGGGCGAAACCCUGAUGCAGCGACGCCGCGUGUGGGAAGAAGGUCCUCUGGAUUGUAAACCCCUGUCCCCAGGGACGAAAAUGACGGUACCUGGGGGGGAAGCUCCGGCUAACUACGUGUCAGCAGCCGCGGUAAUACGCGGGGAGCGAACGUUGUCGGGAAUUACUGGGUGUAAAGGGAGCGUAGGCGGGGAUGCAAGUUGAGUUGCAAAACUACCGGCUCAACUGGUAGUCGCACUGUAAACUGCAGCUCUUGAGUGAAGCAGAGGCGAGCGGAAGUCCUAGUGUAGCGGUGAAAUGCGUAGAUAUUAGGAGGAACACCAGUGGCGAAGGCGGCCGGCUGGGCUGUUACUGACGCUGAGGCUCGAAAGCGUGGGGAGCAAACAGGAUUAGAUACCCCUGUAGUC
rnacentral:rRNA from 1 species